GACAGAUAGGAUGGUUUAUUUACUUUGAAAUCAUAUUAUUAUAUACACUUAAGAAUUCGCAGCUCUCUCUGCAGGUUAGUGGACAUCAGGCUCAGUAAAUUGUAUCUUUACAUGACUUUAGAGGUCCAACUUUACUAUACUUUUUUAUAUUCUAGGCAUUCGAGGUAUCAUUUUGUUAUUAUAGAAUAUUUAUUAUUAGUAUAAACGUAGCAGAAGAGUUCAAGAAAAAAACACCAGUCAAUGUAGUAAUCAUUUUAACAACUUGUUUACAAUCAUUGCUUGUGCAUAAUUUAUUUUACAAUCAUUUCCUUAAAUAUGACACCAUGUUCCAUUUUCACAAUUAAAUGUUACAUGCACUUGACAAUGUUAUAAUUUAAAGGUUGAUGAUACAAUUCUGAAAUAAAGAAAAUACAUAUAUAGAAAGUAAAAGAAAACCUAAACAACAAGGUAUAGUUAUCCGCUACACCCAAUAACUAAGAACAAACUUUAGUAUGGGGUAUAAUGGACUACUAUACCUUGUAUCUAAUAGGUUAAUAACUUUAACAUUGUUUACAGUGAAGGCUUGAUUAUUCUCAGGAUGUAAGAGGUGUGUUGUGCGUGUACAUUGAUUCUGGCAAAUUUAAUUUAAAAAAUCCACUUUAGAAACAUGUCUGAAGAAAGAAGUUAAAAGAAGAGAGGUCUCUUACAAAAAGCGAUUUAUAAAAAUAUCUGUCACUUAAGCUAAUCAUAUAGCAAGAUGGACUGUGUAUAUGUAUGUCAAUACUCAGAAAAUGUAAUACCAAAUUAUUGAUGGAAAAAUUGUGUACAUUAAAUCAACUGAUCAUCAUGAGUAAAUCUGCCAUAUGGUGAUGGGCACGUUUCCUUAUCACUGAAAGAUUGCUAUACCAUCUCUGAUUAUACAGAGGUAUAGCUCAUUAAAAGGGGAUAAGAGAUAAAUAUACUUGGUUAUCAACUUCAUUAUGCAUCGCAACGUUCAAGUGUUUCAAUUCUUGUAAUCUUUGACAAUUGACUUGUAAAACUUGGUCGAGUUUGAAGAAAAUCUCAAAUUUGGUUUAGGCAAAGAUGUUUUGCAACUACAGGAUUUUGGUUUAAAUUUUGCAUAUCUGUUUUCAAUUUCCAACACAAGCUCCCUGUUUAAAGGAACACUAUAGCGAGGGGAAAAAAUAGCACUAUAGUUUUACCCUACCUAUUUUGGUGUCAGCUCCCUCCCCAGUGAAAUUGUCAAAAUUAAUUCCACAUUAGGAGGGCAGUGCACAUGCGCGGCAAAUCUCCACACUACUUCACUCAAGUUCUCUCUAGCGGUCUGGCUCUGUUCUCACAGGAGAAGCACCUCUAGUGGAAGUCAGGAAGACUACCAGUAGAGGUGUGCUUAACCCAGGGUUAAAAUUACAGGACCACUGCACCCAGACCACUUCACUGAGAUGACUUUACUGAUCAUUUCAUAAAUCAGCACAUAUGAGAUUUAGGCUGCUCUUAUUAAUUCAUGACAAGUGUAGUCUAGUCAGCUAUUAAUUUUUCACAAAAAUAUUCUUACAUUUUUUUUUAAAUGUGUGAUACAAUUCUUUCAUAAUCUCUCUAUAUUGUGGUGGUACAGAUUACUCUUCUUUUACGUUACAAAAAAACCUCACUAUAUGCCACAAUGACAAAGUUCCACCACAAAUGGAAACAUCAUCAGUGCUAGGAUACACAGGUUACUAAUUAUAUAUUUUUAAAAAUCUAUUUUUGGAUUCUUUGAAUUAGCCUAGAUGUGUUACUAAGCUUGAAAUAAUUUUGCCCUUAUGUAACCACAUACCCUUAUCUAGGUCAAACUUCUUCUCUGAUAAAAUGAGCUGAAUACUUGAAAGUAUUGCAUUUUUAUUUUAUAUUUGUGCAUUCAUUUGACUUUGACCAAUUAUUUGACCAUCAGUUAAAGGGACACUCCAGGCACUCAGACCACUUCUGCCCCUUGGAGUGGUCUGGGUGCCAACUCCUACUACCCUUAACUCUGCAAGUGUAAUUGUUGCAGUUUUUUGUAAACUGCAAUAAUUACCUUGCAGGGUUAAGUCCUCUUCUCGUGGCUGUCUAUCAGAUAGCCACUAUAGGGACUUUUGUGUUCUUAGAACACGAAAAGUGUUUUAAGUGACACUGGACGUCCUCACACUAUGUGAGGACCUCCAGCGUUGCCGAAAUCCCCAUAGGAAAGCAUUGCGUAAUGCUUUCCUAUGGAGAGGUCUAAUGCGCGUGUGGGGAGGAGAGUAGGCGGACCUGACCCAGCGCCGAGGGACAUUGGCUCUGGACUCCGGUAAGUCACUGAAGGGGUUUUAACCCCUUCAGCAACUUGGGAUGGGGGGUGGGAGAGAGGGGCACUGUAGGAUCCUGCAGUGCCAGGAAAACUAAUAUGUUUUCCUGGCACUGGAGAGUCCCUUUAAUAAAAUUCCAACAGAAAAGCAAUUCAAUAAAGGCAGUGCUUAUGAGGAAGGAGUGAAGAGGGUGGAGCUUAUACAGAUAAAAUGGCACUGUACAUUCAUUUUCCGUAAAGCAAAAAUAAAUAGCUAUAUUAGUGAAUUAAUAAGUCCCACCGUAAACAAUUUUGUAUGAAUGGAGACUAGGGUAUAAUACAUUUCUGUCAUUAAAUAUAUCAGAAAAAAAAAGAACUUCACAUACAUUUUGUAUGAUUUACCUUAAUUUAGAGGCUUGAAAUUACUGUAAGGUUUAACAGUUUCCCCUCUUACCUUUUUGUCCGCGGGGUGCCAAGGGUCCAAAUGUGGCCAAGUAAUGACAGGUAACCUUUUUAAAAUGUUCAGGAUUAUUUACUAACAUUUAAAUUGAUGGUAAUUCAAAGUGAAUUUAAAAUGUUAGGUGAAAAUAUUAGAAAUAAUUCUCCAAGUCAGCUUUGUUUUCAUUCUGAUUAUUUUGGUCUAAAAUUUGAAAAUUCACUUUGAAUUCCCAGCAGCUCAAAUUUCAGAUUAGUAACUUUUAAAUUUAAAGUGGCACUCCGACGCCCAAAUAAAAAAAAUAAAAAAUCACAAAUAGUGUGUGUGUGUGUGUGCCUUAUUUUUUUUUAGUAGAUAUACCCAAAUAAGCACAUGCAUGUAUUUUUUUCAUUGGGAGUAUGUCUAAAAACAGCUUUGAAAAGCUCAGUGAGAAGACUUUGCAAGGCAGGUGCUCUGGGCAAUUACAGCCAGGGAGGGAGGGGUGGAGGGAGGGGGGGGGUGUAACAAGAUUAAUUUAUAAAAGUACAUCUUUCUAUUGAAAUCUGAACUUUUUGUAAAAUUAAAAAAUAGGACACACACUUCACGCAUUACAGUAAGAUAAAGUGCUUAGGGGUCCGGAGUGUCUUUUUAAGAACAAAGUAGUUGAACUUGACUUAUAGCUGAUUUUGAGAAUUUUUCAAAGUUUAGCUAUGUUGGCCUCCAUUUUGAAAUUCACUUUGAAUUUGUGACGAUUCUCAUUUCAGUAAAUAACCAUGCCAAUAGAAAAUUGCAUUUCUUCAGCUGAUGAAAACUGUCCAAUGAAUGUUAUACCAUAGAGGUGUCCUUUAAAAUGUGUUUUAGGUCUCACAUGUUGCAUUUUACUCUUUAGCUUAUAUACUAUGUGUAAUCUAGCUAAUGGAUGAGUUACAUGUCACUCAGUACUGUAUAUAGGACAUCGCCUUCAGGACAGGGAAAGAAAGUGUGGAUUGUUAAUACAUGGAUCAGAAGGGUACGAACAGUGAGACUAUCCCUGGUGACACGCUGCACUGUGGUGUGCAGAGCUUCCUCUCCCCAGAACUUGACAUUAUCAUUAGGCAGAGCGGGCACUUGCCUUCUCUGACUAAUGAUAAAAUACAGCUCUCUGGGAGAGCGUGGCUCUACACACCAAAUUGCAGCGUGUCACCAGGAAUUGCACACUUUAAUAGGGCAUGUGUUGUGGUUAGUGUCUACUCCACUGAGGAAGCAGGGAUCACACUCUCAUUAUGUGAUGCCACCCCAAUUCUGGCCACACUGCUGAGUAGCUUGGAGCUUGGGGUACAGUUUUACUGGCAUUCCCAGUGACUUAAAGGGACACUAUAGUCCCCAGAACAACUACAGCUUAUUGUGUUUGUUCUGGUGAGUAGAAUCAUUACCUUCAGGCUUUUUGCUGUAAACGCUGUCUUUUCAGAGAAAAUGCAGUGUUUACAUUACAGCCUAGUGAUAACUUCACUGGCCACUCCUCAGAUAGCUUUUAGAGAUCCUUCCUGGGUCAUGGCUGCCUAAAAUGCAUCCAAACAUUCAGUAUCUCCUCCCUCUGCAUGCAGACACUGAACUUUCCUCAUAGAGAUUCAUUGAUUCAAUUAAUUUCUAUGAGGAGAUGCUGAUUGGCCAGGGCUGUGUUUGAAUCAUGCUGGCUCUGCCCCUGAUCUGCCUCUUUGUCAGUCUCAGCCAAUC